AUUGAACGCUGGCGGAAUGCUUUACACAUGCAAGUCGAACGGCAGCACGGGGCAACCUGGUGGCGAGUGGCGAACGGGUGAGUAAUACAUCGGAACGUGCCCAAUCGUGGGGGAUAACGUAGCGAAAGUUACGCUAAUACCGCAUACGAUCUACGGAUGAAAGCGGGGGAUCGCAAGACCUCGCGCGAAUGGAGCGGCCGAUGUCAGAUUAGGUAGUUGGUGGGGUAAAAGGCUCACCAAGCCGACGAUCUGUAGCUGGUCUGAGAGGACGACCAGCCACACUGGGACUGAGACACGGCCCAGACUCCUACGGGAGGCAGCAGUGGGGAAUUUUGGACAAUGGGCGCAAGCCUGAUCCAGCCAUUCCGCGUGCAGGAUG
rnacentral:rRNA from 1 species